GCACAGAGUUAGCCGGGGCUUCCUCUGCAGGUACAAUCAACUCCCUGACGUAUUAGGUCAAGUUGCUUUUUCCCUGCUGACAGGAGUUCACAAUCCAAAGACCUUCAUCCUCCACGCGGCGUUGCUGCGUCAGGCGUUAGCCCAUUGCGCAAAAUUCCCCACUGCUGCCUCCCGUAGGAGUCUGGACCGUGUCUCAGUUCCAGUGUGGCCGAUCACCCUCUCAGGCCGGCUACCGAUCGUCGCCUUGGUAGGCCUUUACCCUACCAACUAGCUAAUCGGACGCGGACCCCUCCUUCAGUACGAGAUCUUGCGACCCCGCUUUCACCUCUCGGUCGUAUGCGGUAUUAGCCCGAGUUUCCCCGGGUUAUUCCCCGCUGAAGGGCAGGUCAUCCACGCGUUACUCACCCGUUCGCCGCUCGACUGUGUAUUGCUACACGCCUCGCUCGACUUGCAUGUGUAAAGCACGCCGCCAGCGUUCAUU
rnacentral:rRNA from 1 species